CUCGCAGGCGGCCAACUAAGUCAGACGUGAAAUCCCUCGGCUUAACCGGGGAACUGCGUCUGAUACUGGAUGGCUUGAGAUUGGGAGAGGGAUGCGGAAUUCCAGGUGUAGCGGUGAAAUGCGUAGAUAUCUGGAGGAACACCGGUGGCGAAGGCGGCAUCCUGGACCAACACUGACGCUGAGGAGCGAAAGCCAGGGGAGCAAACG
rnacentral:rRNA from 1 species